rnacentral:rRNA from 1 species
AGAGCGAACGCUGGCGGCAGGCCUAACACAUGCAAGUCGAGCGCCCGUAGCAAUACGGGAGCGGCAGACGGGAUAGUAACACGUGGGAACGCGCCCUUCGGUUCGGAAUAACUCAGGGAAACUUGAGCUAAUACCGAAUACGCCCUUACGGGGAAAGAUUUAUUGCCGAAGGAACGGCCCGCGUCCGAUUAGCUAGUUGGUGAGGUAAUGGCUCACCAAGGCUACGAUCGGUAGCUGGUCUGAGAGGAUGACCAGCAUCACUGGGACUGAGACACGGCCCAGACUCCUACGGGAGGCAGCAGUGGGGAAUAUGGACAAUGGGCGCAAGCCUGAUCCAGCCAUGCCGCGUGGAUGAUGAAGGCCUUAGGGUUGUAAAGUCCUUUUAACGGGGAAGAUAAUGACGGUACCCGUAGAAUAAGCCCCGGCUAACUCGUGCCAGCAGCCGC